CAAAGAUGGCGUUCCCGGUGCUGUCAAAGUUAAGACAUUUGCUUAGAUUAACCAGAAAGGUUCAUUCUUCCAAAAGACUCCUCUGCGCUGGUGAUAUAAAGGAUGAAAAGGGACGUCCAUCCACCUGCCGGGUCUUCUCUGGGAUCCAGCCAACUGGUGUCCCCCAUCUAGGUAACUAUUUAGGUGCGUUGGAGAACUGGGUAUCACUACAACACCAGUAUCCAUCCGUGCUUUAUAGCAUAGUAGACCUUCACUCCAUCACACAACCUCAGGAUCCAAGCCAGCUCAGGCAGAACAUCCUGGACAUGGCUGCCAGUUUACUAGCUUGCGGAAUCGACCCGGAGAGAGCCAUACUCUUCCAACAAUCGCAGGUGCCCGAACAUGCAGAGCUGUCAUGGGUCCUCAGCUGUCUGACCAGCAUGCCGCGCCUCCGACACCUGCCACAAUGGAAGAUGAAGAGCAAGCAGAAGAAUGAAGGCAGCGUGGGUCUUUACACGUAUCCUGUCCUCCAGGCUGCUGAUAUUCUUCUCUACCGGUCCACUCAUGUGCCAGUCGGUGAGGAUCAGGUCCAGCACUUGGAGCUGGCUCAGGAUUUAGCUCGUAUCUUCAACAGACAGUAUGGAGAGAUGUUUCCAGAACCCAAAGCCUUAUUGAGUACUACAAGAAAGGUUAAGUCGUUGCGUGAGCCAUCUGCCAAAAUGUCCAAAUCUGACCCUUAUUCCAUGGCCACUAUCAGCAUCACAGACGCUCCUGAUGUGAUCACACUUAAGAUCCGACGCGCUGUGACAGACUUCAUCUCUGAGGUGACCUAUGACCCGGACCAGCGACCUGGAGUGUCCAACCUGGUAAUGGUACACGCAGCCGUGGUAGGGAUCAGCGUGCAGGAGGCUGUUUCACAGGCCCGGGGUCUGGACACUGGAGCGUAUAAGAAGGUGGUGGCUGAGGCCGUGAUCCAGAGGUUAACACCCAUCCGGGAGGAGAUCCACAGGCUCAGGUCGGACAUGGCAUACCUGGAGACGGUGCUGAAGCAAGGGAACCACAAGGCAAGGGAGCUGGCUGCACCUGUGCUGGCACAGGUCAGACAGAGAGUGGGCUUCUGCUGAGAGGACUGGACACUGGAGUUGUGGUGCUGAAGAUGUUGGGUUCAUCUAUCUGAAAAGAUCAACAUCUGUGGCCGUUGUGAAGUAAUGACAAAGGGAGUGUUCUACAGGAUUUUUUCCUUAACAGUCUACCAUGAAUUGCAGAGUCCUGCUCGACAGACAGGGAUUUUCCCAGCAUAGGGAGAGCACUUGGGAGAACCCUGAUAACAGUAUAUCACAGAAUCCAAGAGCUACUUUUUAUGUGUGAAAUGUACCUUUGAGAUUUACUCAUCAGAAAAACUGCUGUUUGCCAGAAUGAUUUGGACACAGCCCUGGUCAG